ACGAACGCUGGCGGCGUGCCUAAUACAUGCCAGUAGAACGCUGAAGCUUGGUGCUUGCACCGAGCGGAUGAGUUGCGAACGGGUGAGUAACGCGUAGGUAACCUGCCUGGUAGCGGGGGAUAACUAUUGGAAACGAUAGCUAAUACCGCAUAAGAGUAGAUGUUGCAUGACAUUUGCUUAAAAGGUGCAAUUGCAUCACUACCAGAUGGACCUGCGUUGUAUUAGCUAGUUGGUGAGGUAACGGCUCACCAAGGCAACGAUACAUAGCCGACCUGAGAGGGUGAUCGGCCACACUGGGACUGAGACACGGCCCAGACUCCUACGGGAGGCAGCAGUAGGGAAUCUUCGGCAAUGGACGGAAGUCUGACCGAGCAACGCCGCGUGAGUGAAGAAGGUUUUCGGAUCGUAAAGCUCUGCUGUAAGAGAAGAACGAGUGUGAGAGUGGAAAGUUCACACUGUGACGGUAUCUUACCAGAAAGGGACGGCUAACUACG
rnacentral:rRNA from 1 species